GCUGCAGUCUGCUUCCAGCACAUCUCCUGCAUGUUUUAAAUCAUGAACGCAGCUGAUUUAUAAUAUGUUUAUUGCCAGACUUAAAGUCCAUUUUAAAAGAAACAUACAGAUAAAAGAAAAAGAUACAAGAAAAACACAAGAAAAGAAAGGAUACCAAUUAACAUUAAUACCAAUAAAAGCCUAUAUAAAAUCACAGGAUAUAACUGCAGUGGAGGUAAGGGACAACAAAACUAACUAGUUGAGAUAAAUCCACCCAAACAUUUUAACCAGUGCAUUCUCAGCCUAGACAUAUAACGAGAGCAGCUCACAGUGGGAUUUGAGAGUGCGACUAUAAUACUAUUGGAAGACUCUUGCAGCCGUCUCAUAAACUUGAACAUUAAAUUUCUUAGAAGUGCCUUAAAUGUGCACACGCUCACAGAAACACACGUUUGACUAGCACUGCCUCCCCUGGGAAUUUUGAGGAGGAUUCUCGUUGCAUCAUUGUAUGCCACUUGUAACCUGUGCAAGCUAGACUUUUUAUAGAAUGACCACAGAUGUGCAGUAUAGAGUGGUGUGCAGUAUGCUUUAAAUAAUGCCACUUCAACAGGUGUGGAACAACAGCUGAAUGUCCGUGCAAUGGUGUUUGCUUGCACAUAUAGCUUGCAGCACUGCCUGUAAAUAUCAUCAUCGUCGCUCAUAUUGGCUGUGAUAAAGUGUCCAAGAUAUUUUAUCUGUUCACAGACUGCAAGACUGUUGCUGGACAACUUAAACACAGGAAAAUUAAGCCUUUUAUCCUGGGUGGUUCUGUAGGUUAGAACAACACUUUUGCUCGAGUUAUAUUUUAAAUUAUAUUCCAUUCCAUACCCAGUAGUAACAGCUAGGAGCUGCGGCUGCUGAUUUGUUCAAUUUAGUGAUGAAUCACUCAUGUAGACACUGAGGGUGGUUUCCCAGGAGCACUACUCAGCCUAAAACAGCUCUGUACAGCGUGGUUUGAGUCAGCCCAUCUGAAAGCAGUUUUGUUCCCACGCCAGCUCCAUGAAGCCCCUAGCCAAUCAGCGGCCAGAAUCACGAUACCGGCCCAACUCAGCCUUGCCAGGUACCUCAAUGGAGCAGGGACUAAAAAUAGGGGAGAAAAUACCAAAGCGUGCCCUUGGAAACCGUGGUCGGGCUGAACUGCAUCGGUCCGAGUUGCCCUGAGUAGUGUUCCUGGAAAAGCACCUUAAGGCUGCAGAACCAGGCAUAUCAGCUCUACUAACUCCAACAGACCUGACCGGCAAUCUGAAGUUGCAAGUGUGGUAUUCUGGCCACAGAGCGGUGAGGGUCUGAGUGACAUUUCAUUCACCAUGUAAAGGGUCAUUUUGGCACAUACUGGCUCAAGAAAAUGAGUUCAAAAUACAAAAAAGUUGUAAAGUAUCACUUUAAGUUAUCUUGGUGUCAUGGUCUGGGGUGAGUCCUCCUCUCUCUGCUAAACCUUCUCUGAGCUUCUCCUGCAGGUGGGCGUGUCAAGGAGUGGACCAGCUGCAGCCCAUCUGCUCAUCAGUUGGCCAGGGACAUAUAAGCUGCUGGGAGACAUCUUUAUUCGCUGGAUGAUUAACUCAACUUCGGUAUCUAUGACUCCCGAGCCUGAUUACUGAGUAAUCCGAAUAGAUAUCGUCCAAGUCGUACUUCUAGCCAGAUUGCUGGUUCCUGUGUGUUUUUCCAAGCUUGCCUGAUUUUUGUAAGCUGCCUCUUCUCCAGAUUUCCACCACCACCUUUCACACCGUCCUGCAACCUACCGGACCAGUCCCGCUGUCUUCCAGCCGCUCCCUGGCUGUCCGCUCCAUACUGACCUUACCUUACCGGAUCCUGCUCCCUAUUCCGUGCUCAGCUCCUCCAGUCCUCCAGCAACCUGGAAACCCAGUCUCCUGUGAUCCAGCGUGUGUCUCUGUCUCCCACUCCUCACGGACUACCCCCCCAGAACAACUCUUCUCUGGUUUCCCCUGGAUCACAAACUAUAACCCCCCGGAGCCACAGCUGGAUUUUCCUGCUGCGCUUUUAGUUCACGUUUUAUAAACUUUCUUUUUUAUACCAUACUCCGACUCUGUGAAUGAUUCUGCAUGUGGUGGGUCAGACACCUUCCCCCCUAACAUGACACUUGGUUGGACAAGUUUUUGUUUAUAUUUAUACAUUGUUUUCAUUUUGUUCUCAAUUCUCUCAACUACUUAGCUUUAGUAGGAGGAUGUUUUAUCUCAACAAGCUUUAUUCUGUAAGUGAAUAAAUAUAUGGGUGCAUAUAGGACACACCCAAAGCCUUUUCUGGAUUUGAAUCAUUUGGAUGUGAUACACUGAUUUAACUAUAACGCUGUUGGCAGACAAAGCAGAAAUGUGAUCAGUAAUUCUCAGUUUUUACUGUGAUAAAAGCUGAGCCAAUCAGGGGAUGGGUGGGCGUGUCUAGCAGCAACUUUAACGAGCCCCCAAUGAAACGACUCAUUCUGAAAGGUACUGAAAAUGUCAAAGAGCUGGUGAGAUUGCAUUUUCCUGUUUUGUAUAGACCACAAAAUUGUUCUAACUUUAAAAAUAUAGUCGCAACACGUCCCCUUUAACAUGUGCUUUUGUAGCAGGAAGUCCUUUACAGUUCUCCAAUCAGCCCCAAGACAAAAUGCACAUUGCCGUACAUGAAGCAUUAAAAAGGCAAAGCGAGGUUUAAUUUAUACAUUUAUUCUAAUCACAACUGUACAGGAAUGUAUCGUCACAGCAGAAACGCAACCUAAACCUGACCGUGGAACAACAGCCGUCACAACACAUCCAGAACUCCAACAGAAAUGUACAGGCUCAGAUCAUUUCAACUCAACAUUUAGAUUCCUCUUGAUUAUCAUCAUAGUUAUUAUUAUUCACAUAGAACUAUCUGUCUUUCAAAUAUCUUUGUUUUAAAGAGCAUAAAACAAAGACGGUGGCUGAUCCACCGUCUUGGCUUAUAUGAAGGGAAAACACUGAAAACUGGGGGCGUCGGGAGGAGUGAAGCCAACUUAUUACAGCUUAUCAGAUUUUUCUGUUAUUUAAUGUAUUUAUAUUAGCUCAUACAAGGCUUUGCAGUAGUCACAGAAGGUUGCAGACAUUUGGGGGUUAACUUUUAGGGUUAAAUCACUCGGACAUCACUGACACAAAGGGGCGUUGACAAAGAAAUCAUGAAGCUGUUAAACAACAGGAAUAGAUAAAUACGAAGGCACGGAGAUUUGCAGAAUAAACACCAAAUUUAGAAAUAAUGGUGAUAAAAGAGGAAGACGAGAAGGAGGUUAAGUUGAUUAAAGGCAAUUUUACUAACCAAACACUAGAGGGCGCUUUAGGAGCGCCUGUUUUAAUGUUGAUUGGAUGGGCUAUAUAAAGCCUUGAAAUGUGAAGAAAUAUAUUUUUGAAAUCACUGUUGUGCCCAGUAGCGGUUUUAGGCACGGGCAGACAGGACAGUUGCCCGGGGCGGCAUUUUUUCAUGACACAAAAGGGGCGCACAAGCGCUGAGUAAAAAAUAAAAAAAGAAAUCUGCGCCGCACCGAGGUGUUCUAUUAUCUGUCAUAUCACAGUGUCUGGAUUGGAAACGGCAAGUUGGCGCCCCCUGCAGCUGCAGGCGCUCCUGCUGACUGAGAAUGUUCACGAAGAAGAGGAAGGGGAGGGGUGCGGCGGGGGAAUUCACCUCUGGGUCUUUCCCAAAUGAAAUGAGCAGGUAGAGGCUGAAUCAACUGUAACAUGGCUAUAGUCAAUCACAUCUUGAUGUUCUUCUAUUUAACGCACAUUUCAUUCAUAAUAUCAUAAACACAGGCCUAUCAUUCUUUCAGUUUUUUCUGAAUUGUGUGAAAUGACCAAAUAAAAAAGGAAAAACAAUGAUUUUGUGGUCACAUAAAGUGAUAAAGAUAAAGGUAUGUACGCUCUCAUGAUGCAUGUUUUCAAUUUUUUAAACCAGUUAACUGGGGUUUUAACAAUUAAAUUCGGUCAACUAUUUGCUAACAGAGCUAAUAGGGCUGAAAUAUUGAAACGAAUAUUCAAAUGGUUUGAAAAAAUUCCUUGAAUCGUUUUUUACUGAUUCAAACUAGGAUUUGUUAAAUGCUUGCUGUGGCCUGUGGCCUGCCUGAACAACAACAAACACAUGUUGAUCAUGUUCACAUAAUAAUAAAUAAAACAACUCUACAAGCAAACAAAGCUACUUCUGUCUCUGCUUCUCCGUCUCCUAUCUCUUCCUCUCUGUGUCAGAUUUUUAGUUACUCCUCUGCCUCCUUUAGCGAUAAUGGUACGUGUAAUAAAUGUAGCAUUUUUGUAGCUUUGGAGGCGAGGGUGUCGGAAUUGGAGUCCCGGCUCUGCGCUGUUGAAAAGCCCGUAAACAGCCGUAGCUACUUAGCUAGCGCGGGGCUAACUAGCUCAGAACCAUCCCGUAGCGACCCUCCAGCAGAACCCAAGCAGCCGGGACCUCAGGCCGGCUGGGUGACGGUACGCAGGAAGCAUAGAACUCAGCCUGUGGGCCACCACCAACCCGUCCACGUUUCUAAUAGAUUUUCCCCGCUCAGUGACGCACCCACUGACAAGCCGACUCUGAUCAUUGGCAGCUCCAUAGUCAGAAACGUGGCAUUAGAGACUCCAGCAACCAUAGUUAAAUGUUUACCUGGGGCCAGAGCGGGCGACAUUAAAUCUUAUCUGAAACUGCUGACUAAGGAUAUGCGUAAAUACAGUAAGAUUGUUAUCCACGCUGGCGGUAACGACACCCGGUUACGCCAAUCGGAGGUCAGUAAAAUUAAUGUUGCUUCGGUGUGCAAGUUUGCCAAAACAAUGUCGGACUUCGUAAUUUUCUCUGGCCCCCUGCCUGAUCGGACCAGUGACGUCAUGUUUAGCCGCACGCUGUCCUUCAACUGCUGGCUGUCUAGGUGGUGUCCUGAAAACAACGUGGGCUACAUUGAUAAUUGGAAAACUUUUUGGGGAAAACCUGGUCUGAUGCGGGGAGACGGCAUCCAUCCCUCUUUCGAUGGAGCAGCUCUUCUUUCUAGGAACAUGGCCAGUUUUAUUAGUCCUCCAUGACUACCCAGGGUCCAGACCAGGAAGCAGAGUCGUAGUUUAACCCACCCCUCUGCAGCUUCUGUACUGUUACCCACCCACUACCCCAUAGAGACAGUGUCCUGCCCACGGCCAAAAUCACACAGAUUGAAUAUCAGGCUUAAUAAAGCAAAUCAUGGAAAUCUCAUAAAUAUUAGAACAAAUUCAACCGAGCAGAAAACUAGAAAAAUUAAAUGUGGGUUGUUGAACAUUAGAUCCAUUUUUUCUAAGACUUUGUUAGUUAAUGACUUGAUUUGUGAUAAUCAGAUCUCUUUGCUCUCUCUCACAGAAUCCUGGCUGCAGCAAGAGGACUAUGUUAGCUUAAACGAGUUGACUCCUUCAAAUUAUUUAAAUCAUCAUAUUGCUCGAAGUACAGGGCGAGGAGGAGGGGUAGCAACCAGUUUUCAUUCGGACUUAUUAAUCAGUCCCUUACCAAUUAAUAGCUACAGUUCGUUCGAACAUCUUAUUCUUAGUUUUCCUAAUCCAGAUUGCAAAACUGUAAAACCACUCUUGUUUGUAGUUUUAUAUCGUCCACCAGGCCCUUACUCUGAGUUUUUGGAUCAGAUCUCUGAUUUUUUAUCUGAUUUGGUGCUACAUACUGAUAAGGUCAUUGUAGUGGGGUGUAACAGACGCUGUCUAUUUUGGUGGCCACAAGGUGGCCUCAUCGCUACAUCUUGCUCUCCUGGCUCUAACGGAGCCAGGUGCAGUUCAUUUCAAUCAGUGCGCUCCCUGUUAAAAGGCAGCUCCUUCUGACAUUCGAGGAGGGAAGCUUAGAAGAGGCCUGGUGUUAGAGCGAGUGUUCCUCUUUUUCCUUCCUAGAAAACCUGACGUUAAAGUCUCGUUUGAUACCUAUGUGGUUAGAUUAUCCUUCCUCGAAAUAUCAAGCUUGGUUGUGUUUCACUAGCAUACUCGUAAAAGAGUUCAGCUCACCCUUUUGGUGGAGUUUUUGGUGUUCCUCCAAAUUCCUUCCUUUUACCCGGUUUAGUCCCGGCGCUUUGUGUUUAAUUGUUUAUUGUUAUUUACCCACGUGUUGGAUGACCUCUUUGUUUAUUAAUCUUAGUGUUGUUUGCCCAGUGUAACCGGGUCACCUUAGUUCCCGGAAGUAAUUCUAGUUGUACGUGUCAUGCCGCUGACACAGGAGAGGCCAGGUGUGUAGUUAGAGGGCUGCUAUAAUUAGGGCAGCUGGGGUCUAGCCGCAAAAGUCGAAAGCCUCGCUUUGGGUGCAGACGUGGGUGUAGCUAAGUGGUGAGUGAUCUGGCUUUGCUUUAGUUUAAAGGGUUUUUUCCUUAAUCGGUUUCUCUUUAUGAAAUGUGAGCAGGACUGAGGGGUGAACAACCGGGAAUUUACAUUGGCAAGCGGUCGGCCGAUGAGUCGUCUUCUCUAGAGGGGAAAGGAAGGAACACUUUUAUGAGACUGGUGGUUAACAUUGAGGACAGUGCUGUCUCUGGGAGGGUGUCACGACGUGCUGCGGAGUGGAGCGGAGAUAAGGCGAGGAUCCAGACCGGGGAGGAAGCAGGCAGACAGUUAGAAAAAAACUUCACAGGUUUAUUAGGACGCACGCUGACAAUGAAACAAUGACUCCGCACAGGACACAAAACAGACAGGGUUUAAAUACAGGAGGACCGGGAGCUAAGGUGAUUGGGAAACAAGAGGCAGGUGGGGGUAAUUAACGAGACAGAGCUGAACUAAACAGGGAGACAGG